rnacentral:rRNA from 1 species
AGAACGAACGCUGGCGGCAGGCCUCAAACAUGCAAGUCUAGGGGGUGUAGCAAUACAUCACCGGCGGACGGGUGCGUAACACGUGGGAAUAUACCUUUUGGUUCGGAACAACGCAGGGAAACUUGCGCUAAUACCGAAUGUGCCCUUACGGGGAAAGAUUUAUCGCCAAAGGAUUAGCCCGCGUAGGAUUAGCUAGUUGGUGAGGUAAUGGCUCACCAAGGCUCCGAUCCUUAGCUGUUCUGAGAGGAAGAUCAGCCACACUGGGACUGAGACACGGCCCAGACUCCUACGGGAGGCAGCAGUUGGGAAUCUUGGACAAUGGGGGAAACCCUGAUCCAGCCAUGCCGCGUGAGUGAUGAAGGCCUUCGGGUUGUAAACUACUUUCGACGGGACGAUAAUGACGGUACCCGUACGAAGAAGCUCCGGCUAACUUCGUGCCAGCAGCCGC